UGCGGGGUAGUCUAAUGGUAGUUGACGUCGCUCUCUGGAAGCGAAGAUCCAGGUUCAAGUCCUGGCCCCGCAG
rnacentral:tRNA from 1 species